rnacentral:tRNA from 1 species
GCCGGCGUGGAGAAACUGGCAUACUCGUGGCGCUCAAAACGCCAUGCCCGCAAGGGCUUAGGGGUUCGACUCCCCUCGCCGGCACCA